rnacentral:misc_RNA from 1 species
UCACAGUUUGCACUGGCAGUCUUGUUAGAGUUCCCGACAUGACUCGCUGGCAACUAACAACAGGGGUUGCGCUCGUUAUAGGACUUAACCUGACACCUCACGGCACGAGCUGACGACAACCAUGCAGCACCUUGUAACUUGCCCGAAGGAAAAGCUGUUUCCAGCCCUGUCAAGCUACAUUUAAGCCCUGGUAAGGUUCCUCGCGUAUCAUCGAAUUAAACCACAUGCUCCACCGCUUGUGCGGGCCCCCGUCAAUUCCUUUGAGUUUCAUUCUUGCGAACGUACUCCCCAGGUGGGGAUGACGUACCAGUAUCGGAA